rnacentral:rRNA from 1 species
GACGAACUGUGCAAACGUUAUUCGGAAUCACUGGGCUUGAAGAGUGCGUAGGUGGUUUAGUAAGUCUGCUGUUAAAGCGCGGGGCUUAACUCCGUAUCGGCAGUGGAAACUGCUAGACUAGAGUGUGGUAGGGGUAGAGGGAAUUCCCAGUGUAGCGGUGAAAUGCGUAGAUAUUGGGAAGAACACCGGUGGCGAAGGCGCUCUACUGGGCCAUAACUGACACUGAUGGACGAAAGCUAGGGGAGCGAAAGGG